GAUGAACGCUGGCGGCGUGCCUAAUACAUGCAAGUCGAGCGAACGGACGAGAAGCUUGCUUCUCUGAUGUUAGCGGCGGACGGGUGAGUAACACGUGGAUAACCUACCUAUAAGACUGGGAUAUCUUCGGGAAACCGGAGCUAAUACCGGAUGAUAUUUUGAACCGCAUGGUUCAAAAGUGAAAGACGGUCUUGCUGUCACUUAUAGAUGGAUCCGCGCUGCAUUAGCUAGUUGGUAAGGUAACGGCUUACCAAGGCAACGAUGCAUAGCCGACCUGAGAGGGUGAUCGGCCACACUGGAACUGAGACACGGUCCAGACUCCUACGGGAGGCAGCAGUAGGGAAUCUUCCGCAAUGGGCGAAAGCCUGACGGAGCAACGCCGCGUGAGUGAUGAAGGUCUUCGGAUCGUAAAACUCUGUUAUUAGGGAAGAACAUAUGUGUAAGUAACUGUGCACAUCUUGACGGUACCUAAGCAGAAAGCCACGGCUAACUACGU
rnacentral:rRNA from 1 species